AUUGUCCUACGGGGGGCAGCAGUCGGGAAUAUUGCGCAAUGGAGGAAACUCUGACGCAGUGACGCCGCGUAUAGGAAGAAGGUUUUCGGAUUGUAAACUAUUGUCGUUAGGGAAGAUAAAAGACUGUACCUAAGGAGGAAGCCCCGGCUAACUACGUGCCAGCAGCCGCGGUAAUACGUAGGGGGCAAGCGUUAUCCGGAUUUACUGGGUGUAAAGGGAGCGUAGACGGCGAUACAAGUCUGAAGUGAAAGCCCGGGGCUCAACCCCGGGACUGCUUUGGAAACUGUGUUGCUGGAGUGCUGGAG
rnacentral:rRNA from 1 species